rnacentral:rRNA from 1 species
UACGAAGGGGGCUAGCGUUGCUCGGAGUCACUGGGCGUAAAGCGCACGUAGGCGGUCUUUUAAGUCAGGGGUGAAAUCCUGGAGCUCAACUCCAGAACUGCCUUUGAUACUGAGAGACUUGAGUCCGGGAGAGGUGAGUGGAACUGCGAGUGUAGAGGUGAAAUUCGUAGAUAUUCGCAAGAACACCAGUGGCGAAGGCGGCUCACUGGCCCGGUACUGACGCUGAGGUGCGAAAGCGUGGGGAGCAAACAGG